CCUGCUGGGUCCUUCCCGAGCUGCCCUUUAGAAAUGGCAGUGCUCUGUGGCUGUGCUCCCCUACCGUGAGCCCCUGCAGGUCCCCGCAAAGCACGGGUAUAAACUGGUGGAUGCUGGAGAGACAGGACUGGCCAGCAGCUCAGGCCCUGAGACUGUGGGUCUCAUCCCCACCUCCCGGCCACUGGGACCAUGAAAUCAAGACGAUCACCUUCUGGGGGUCUAAUAACCACAUCACUUUUCGGCCUGUCCCCAGGAACGUGUCACUGAGAAAGUGACCACACGACGCCUGGCAAGUAGGACAGUGGGGCUGAGAACGAGGCCUGAGGCCUGGGCAGCAGACUCCAGCUCGCAACGGGGCUGCAACCCCACGUCCUGGUUGCCAUUCAGGCAUCGCUCGAUGUGGAACGGCAGACGAAUCCGUAUCAUGGGCCUGUGUGUGGCCCUUUACAAGCACGUGCUAUAGCGAGUGCCUCCGGGCUGAGGGGAAUUAAAAUAGAAAGGGUCCCCUAGGUGUUGGAAAGAACCCCGGGACUGGCGUUUAGGAAGUCUGAGAGGGUAUCAGGCUGGCUGCAGACAUAUUCACUGUUUAAAUUAAGACGCCAGAGGGUCCCUAGAUCAGUGGGCUAAGGAGCCACCAACAGGGUCGUUUCAAUGGCUAUGACACCCUCAGAAGCAUCUGCAGAAGCUGC